rnacentral:rRNA from 1 species
GACAGAGGGUGCAAACGUUGUUCGGAAUUACUGGGCGUAAAGCGUGUGUAGGCGGCUUUGCAAGUCGGAUGUGAAAGUCGGAGGCUCAACCUUCGAAAGCCGGUGGAUACUGCGUGACUAGAGUACGGAAGAGGAGAGUGGAAUUCCUGGUGUAGCGGUGAAAUGCGCAGAUAUCAGGAGGAACACCAACGGCGAAGGCAGCUCUCUGGGACGUUACUGACGCUGAGACGCGAAAGCGUGGGGAGCAAACAGG